CCCAUAUACCAUCACUGGGGAAUUGGUUUCAACGUAUUAGGUAGAAGCUAGACACAGCAGUGGAAGGAAUGCCCCAAGGCAGAGUUCCAAGUCCUUGAAGGGGAAUGAUAGAGACAUGAGCUGGAGGCCAGGACGGUUACAAAAAGGAAAUUUGGACACACUGAGAGACACCAUAGGGGCAUGAAUAUACAGAGAGACAAACAUGUGAAGAAGCAGCAACAGGAGGACCAUCUGUCGUCCAAGAAGAAAGGCCUCAGAAGAAACCAAACUCACCUCCACCUUGAUCUUGGACUUCUAGCUUCCAGAACUGUAAGCAAAUAAAAUAAAUUUCUGUUGUUUAAGA